UACGUAGGGUGCGAGCGUUUGUCCGGAAUUACUGGGCGUAAAGAGCUCGUAGGUGGUUUGUCGCGUUGUUCGUGAAAACUCACAACUCAAUUGUGGGCGUGCGGGCGAUACGGGCAGACUGGAGUACUGCAGGGGAGACUGGAGUUCCUGGUGUAGCGGUGGAAUGCGCAGAUAUCAGGAGGAACACCGGUGGCGAAGGCGGGUCUCUGGGCAGUAACUGACGCUGAGGAGCGAAAGCGUGGGGGAGCGAACAGG
rnacentral:rRNA from 1 species